rnacentral:ncRNA from 1 species
GUAAUAAAUAAUAUUUCGUAUAAAACUGGUAAUAUGGUCCAGAAGUUUCUACCGGCUAACCUUAAAUAGGCCGACUACGAAGUGAGUACU